ensembl:ncRNA ZC504.12 ncRNA
GCCCAGAGGAAGGAGUCAAAAUUAUUCUUGCUCUUUUUUCCUUUUUACUUUGCCAUUCUUGCUUAAGGAAGAGAACGAAAAGUGGAAAAGAGCUCAGAAUACAUUUUCUGAUGAAUCGGAGAAA